GCCGGGCGUGGUAGCACAUGCCUGUAAUCCCAGCUACUCAGGAGGCUGAGGCAGGAGAAUUGCUUGAGCCCAGGAGGCGGAGGUUGCAGUGAGCCGAGAUCAUGCCACUGCACUCUAGCCUGGCCAACAGAGCGAGACUCUGUCUCAA
rfam:Nomascus leucogenys chromosome 11, whole genome shotgun sequence.